CCCAAUCCCGUGCCGCCACGUCAGCUGCUCGCUGGCGCGGCGCGAGCGCAGCGGCGGCGGUGCUUCGCCUUGCCAGCGGCGCGGACGGCGGUGGCGACCGUCGCCACCGUUGCGGAUGCUCUAACACUCUCUCUUGCUCUCUCUUGGUUAUGGUGGUGAAAAGGAUUUUGUGUAACAAGAGAAAUAGAUUGGAGCUGUGCACCUAUAUAUCUACUAAAUUUGAGAGUUUAUUGGGAUUUGGUCAAAGGGGUGUGUAGAGAGAAAUCUGCUCUCUUGGCUUCUUGCUAAAUCUGUUGGGAGCACGUUUUGUGCAGGUGGGGAUCAGAUAUUUUGAGUUAGGAGUUGGUUCCCUUUUUCAGGUCUUCUUUGGGUAUAGCAUGCUCAUUUUGGGUCUGUACUGCACAACAUCAAGGGCUGUCCCCUAACUGAUUUUGUUUCAUGUGUAGGACACUCUAAAGCUGUCGGUGAAAGAGUGGCUGAGGUUGGAGCUGAAAAGCUUUUGGCAUGCAAGAGCUGAAUUAGGACAUAUGGAGAGGGGUCUCGGAGCUGAUCGGUUGAGGCCCUAGGUGGCUGCUACGUGGCUGAUCUUCAAGCUAUUGGGCCGAGCAUAAAAGAAUUUGGGCUCAAGGGAAAAUUAGACAUAGCCCAACACAAUUUCAUAUCAUUAUGGACCUGAUUGUUUGUUUUGACUUGAAUUCUUUUGUACUAAACGAAAUUUGAAAAUCUUCUUGAUCGAUCGUAAACGUCCAAA